rnacentral:misc_RNA from 1 species
GAUGAAGAACGUAGUGAAAUGCGAUAAGUAAUGUGAAUUGCAGAAUUCAGUGAAUCAUCGAAUCUUUGAACGCACCUUGCACCCUUUGGCAUUCUGAAGGGUAUGCUCGUUUGAGUGUCAUUGUACUCUCACACUCCCGAUCUUUGCAUUGGGAGCAGUGGACUUGGGUUUGCUGCUUCACCGUCGCUUACCUCAAAUAGGUUAGUGCAACUCUUGGUUGGACAUAGUACGGCGUGAUAAGUGUUCUUCGCCGGUGCCUCGCAAAGAGGGUGGCCGAUCGGGAUGUUGUGCUCCAAACCGUCUUCGGACAAUCUCUGACGACUUGACCUCAAAUCGAGUAAGACUACCCGCUGAACUUAAGCAUAUCAAUAGCGGAGGA